rnacentral:sRNA from 1 species
GCCGGGCAUGGUGGCACAUGCCUGUAAUCCCAGCAGCUCAGGAGGCUGAGUUAGGAGGAUCCUGAGUUCAAAGCCAGCCUCAGCAACUUAGCAAGGUCUCAAACAACGCCAGCAAGAUCCUGUCUUUA